rnacentral:tRNA from 1 species
GGGUGAGAAGCAUAAGUGAGUAUAUGCGGUCGGCUGUUAACCGAAUGAUAGAGGGUUCGAGUCCCUCCUUGCCCGCCA